AACGAACGCUGGCGGCAGGCCUAACACAUGCAAGUCGAACGCUCUUUUCGGAGAGAGUGGCGCACGGGUGAGUAACGCGUGGGAAUCUGCCCUUUGGUUCGGAAUAACCCUGGGAAACUA
rnacentral:rRNA from 1 species